AAAUCUUUAUGCAGGUUGUUUCUCAAACCCAUUGAACAUAAUGAUCGGACGUCAUCUCCCAAUUUUGAAUUCCCUGUAUUCGAAGCGGACGAAGAUGAUGUUGAAGGGAUUCCUGACGGUAUUUCCCGACUUCUUGAGCAAGAAAAGAAGAUCACACUCAGCUGCAUCCCGAGAAUCAACAGAACAGCCAACUGGGGCAUCAAAAAAAGAAGAAGGAAAAAAAAAGAGAAAAGAGAAAAAGGAGGGUGCAAAAAAAAAAUCAAAACAAAUCAAAAGAAAUCAAAAGAAAGAAAAAGAAAGAAAAAAACAAAAGAGAAAUAGCACCCUC
rnacentral:lncRNA from 1 species